CAGCCGCCACGGUAAUACGUAGGGUGCAAGCGUUAAUCGGAAUUACUGGGCGUAAAGCGUGCGCAGGCGGUUUGUUAAGUCUGCUGUGAAAUCCCCGGGCUCAACCUGGGAAUGGCAGUGGAUACUGGCGAGCUAGAGUGUGUCAGAGGAUGGUGGAAUUCCCGGUGUAGCGGUGAAAUGCGUAGAGAUCGGGAGGAACAUCAGUGGCGAAGGCGGCCAUCUGGGACAACACUGACGCUGAGGCACGAAAGCGUGGGGAGCAAACAGGAUUAGAUACCCGCGUAGUCCCUGUCUCUUAUAC
rnacentral:rRNA from 1 species